CACAGACAACCAGGAUGUUGGCUUAGAAGCAGCCACUCAUUCAAAGAGUGCGUAAUAGCUCACUGGUCGAGUGAUCCUGCGCCGAAGAUUUCCGGGGCUAAAACUUACUACCGAAGCUACGGCAUCAAUAAUGAUGGGUAGGGGAGCUUCCCAUACGGGUUGAAGCAUGACCGUAAGUACCUGUGGACAGUAUGGGAGGGAGAAUGUUGGCAUUAGUAACGAGAUGUGGUUGAGCAUCCCACCGGCCGUAAACCCACGGUUUCAAGGGGAAGGUUCGUCCGCACUGGGUUAGUCGUGACCUAAUCUAAAGCCGAAAGGCGUCGGUGAUGGACAACAGGUUGAUAUUCCUGUACUACCGAUAACCGUUUGAGAGAAGGGAUGACACAGUAGGAUAAGCUAAGCACACUGUUGGUUAUGUGUGCCCAAGCAUUGAGGCAGUCAAAGUAGGCAAAUCCGCUUUGAUAAUGCUAGGAUGUGAUGGGGAGCGAAAUUUAGUAGCGAAGUAGCUGAUUUCACACUGUCAAGAAAAGUCUCUAUCGAGGUUAAAGGUACCCGUACCGCAAACCGACACAGGUGGGUGAGGAGAGUAGCCUAAGGCCAGCGAGAGAACUGUUGUUAAGGAACUCGGCAAAAUGACCCCGUAACUUAGGGAUAAGGGGUGCCAACAUCAGGUGGCCGCAGAGAAUAGGCCCAAGCGACUGUUUACCAAAAACAUAGGUUUCUGCUAAGUCGCAAGACGAUGUAUAGGAGCUGACGCCUGCCCGGUGCUGGAAGGUUAAGGGGAUCUGUUAGAG
rnacentral:rRNA from 1 species